rnacentral:rRNA from 1 species
UACGUAGGGGGCUAGCGUUGUCCGGAAUCAUUGGGCGUAAAGAGCGUGUAGGCGGCUUGGUAAGUCCGCUGUGAAAGUCCAGGGCUCAACCCUGGAAUGCCGGUGGAAACUGUCAAGCUUGAGUCCGGAAGAGGCGAGUGGAAUUCCUGGUGUAGCGGUGAAAUGCGCAGAUAUCAGGAGGAACACCGGUGGCGAAGGCGGC